UACGUAGGGGGCAAGCGUUGUCCGGAUUUAUUGGGCGUAAAGAGCGUGUAGGCGGCCUUACAGGUCAGCUGUGAAAACUCGAGGCUCAACCUCGAGACGUCGGUUGAAACCGUAAGGCUAGAGUCCGGAAGAGGAGAGUGGAAUUCCCAGUGUAGAGGUGAAAUUCGUAGAUAUUCGCAAGAACACCAGUGGCGAAGGCGGCUCACUGGCCCGGUACUGACGCUGAGGUGCGAAAGCGUGGGGAGCAAACAGG
rnacentral:rRNA from 1 species